CCACAAUGGCAUUUCUUGGUUUGUCUGUGAACAAUAUAUCUGUCUGAUAAAGCCAUGUAAAUCGCGCCAUACGCAGAUUGAGGCAGUACAACAAACUACCACUAGAGGGCAGAACAUGAUGGAUGUUGUGUCUAAACGAACAAAAGUUUGGCCUCCGGCUCCUGCGGGGCCCCCAAGCGAACACUUUUGGGGUUCACAGUGCGGUGACCUCUGAGGAGAUGCAGUAACGUCCUGAACUCUUCAGCAUCAAAGAGAUCUGCGGGGGGCGGAGCUGAUACAGAACGCAUCACAAUGCCGGUCCACCUACACUCUCCCGCUCCUGUUCCUCACUUUCCUCAAGUAUGCGAAUAUGAAUGACUUCAGUCCUCUCCCUGUGACCUCUCUAUCACAUCACCUCUGGUACUUUAAUCCUUUUAGCUGAUGAUCACAGAUUUGAUUAAACUUUUUGUUUGUUUAAAUGGAUGGUUCACCUAAAAAUGUUCUGACAGUUUACUCACCCGCAGGCCACCCGAGAUGUAGAUAAGUUUGUUUCUUAAUGGGAAGAUUUGAAGAAAUCAGUCCAAACAGCUGAUAAAAACAUCACAGUAAUCCAGCCCAUCAGUUAACAUCUUGUGAAGUAAAAAUCUAUAUUUCUGCAAAAAACAAAUCCAUCAAGUUUUUUUUUUUUUUUUCUU